CCCCAGGACCAGUGCAUCUCAGUGCAGCUCUGUGCCGGAGCCCAGGUUUGGGAAGCGGAUAGGAAACGACUUUGGCAUUGGCACGGUGGUGCUGUUUGAAUGCAAUCCAGGCUACGCUCUGCACGGCGCCACUGCCAUCAGGUGUGAGGCCAUCCCUAACACUGUAGCUCAGUGGAACGGCACUGAGCCCACCUGCGUAGUUCCCUGUGGAGGACUGCUGACAUCUCGUAAGGGGACCAUCCUUUCUCCUGGUUACCCAGAGCCCUACGCCAACUAUCUCAACUGUAUCUGGAAGGUCUCUGUGCCGGAGGGAGCAGGCAUCCAAAUCCAGGUCAUAACUUUUGCCACGGAACACAACUGGGACUCCUUGGACUUUUUUGACGGCGUCGAUGGCAACGCGCCAAGGCUUGGCAG